AUGUUUAAACAAUAAUUACGUAUUUUUUUAUACAAGAUAAUUAUAAUAAUUAUCCUGUUUGAAACAGAUUAAUCGACUGCAAAAAAUUCUUAAUAUAAACUGUAUUGUCAUUACUGAUGAUCUUUUUUCUGCACUGUAGGAUUAUGCAGCAAAUGCAAAGGAAGCAAUACGCGAGCUGCAUGAUAGGUGGUACAAAGAUCGACAGCUCGAGAUACAUCUCAGUGUUCACGCAAUUAGAGUUAAAAACGUAGCUCUUGGAUACUUAACGAACUACUCGAAAAAGCGUUUGGCGAAGUCAAGCGCGUGAUAGUUUUUGUUGACGAUGGAAAUCAAACUAUUGGCGAAGGAAUCAUCAAAUUCCCGACAAAGACGAACGCUCAAUUGGCCCUGAAAUCGACCCUCGAUCGGUAAACAUAGAGUCGGUCGAACAAAAUAAUACAAACGAUCUACCCAGAAAUAAGAAUCUAUCGCGCAAGCUUCUGAAGUUUUAUACAGCCAGAAAAAUCAGGCCGCAUUUCACGCGAUUGCAUAUCAAGUGUAAAUAUAAUAAACAAUGGAAGAGGUUGUACGAGGAGUACAAAAGUCAGACAGAAAAACUCCAGCGAGAUAAUAUUGAAUUGACGGAAAACAAGGAACUUGUAGUCCCCAAUUAGAAAUCGAGAAAAUAUUGAGAAAAUAUUUCUAAGCGAACAGAAACGUGCGAUCACGCUCCACAAGCAAAUGAUAAUGAAGGUACUACAAAAUAAAGAGAGAAGGUUACUCUCUAGAGGGAAAUAAAAUGGCAACAGCGGGAAGAGCUGUUAUAAUACGGCAGACAAUAAUAUAAAGAAAAAGAUGAAAAGAGACUGAUAACACAGCCGUUAACGAGCGUCGAGACAAGACUACAAUUCUAAAUAUGUUCACUGCAUCGUAAUAUUUACACACAUAAAAACAAAACAAAAAAUGUGAGAAUUUGUAAUCUCGAUUAUUAUAUUCACAGAUCUAUAUUUGUAUGUUCAAGGAAUAGACAAGCCAUACCGGCGAUAAAAAAAAUUAAUAUUUUAUGUUUGGAGAGUUACGACGAAUAUGGAUAAUCGAUGGCUAUUAAUUGGAAAAGAGCCAGGUCGCUUAAUUAUACUCGUUUGUUUGUACUCAAUCAUAGUAAAUAUAUCACAAGGAAUAUUCUGCGCAUCUAUUCAUGAGCCACAACUGGAAAUUUCUAAAUUCAUCU